AGUAUUUAGUGGUAGGGAUUCGGAUAAGACUGCCAUUUAUAAGUUGGAGGAAGGCAAAGAUUGCAUUAAAUCGUUAUCGCUCUUAUGUUUUGAGAAAGAUAAANUAAGGCUAAUUCCAUUAACUCUUCCCUACUCUUUUCUUUUGAUAAGAGAGUUUUUAAAACCAGUGUUAUUUUUGUAAGUUUAAGAGAAGUUUGUGUAUUGAAUUUUUUAUUUUUAAUAUUAAAGAGCUUUGUUAAACUUAGACUUAAGUUUAGGUCAUUUUGGGGGUUUAGCUCAGUUGGCUAGAGCAUCGGCUUUGCAAGCCGAGGGUCAAGGGUUCGAGUCCCUUAACCUCCAUUGGGCUUAUGUCCUAAAUUGUAAUUAAGUAUGUUUUUAAGCAACUUUGUUAAAGUAAUUGUUAGAAUGUGAAAACAGAGAAAGUUAAAAUUUCUGGGUUAAGUUGAGAUCUGUUGAUAUUAAGAAGAAUCUCUAGAAGCAAAAGCAAGCUUUCGAUAAAACCCGAAGUUGUUUCGCUAAAGUGCAAGGAUUAAACAGGAUUGUAUUUUCCAGCAGCCUAUUUUAUAAACGAUCUGCA
rnacentral:tRNA from 1 species